rnacentral:lncRNA from 1 species
GAGGCGCCGGUGUACUAAAAAAAAAUGCUAGCGAUAGAUCCUUCAAUCUCAUACAUUCUACGCACGCACCUAUAAAAACAAGUAUAAACUAUCCGUGUCUUGUAGAAGGACGGUCCUGCCGACCAAAGGCUCCAUCAUGCUCAAAGAAAGAAGAAAAGAAAAAAACAAAAAAAGAAAAGAAAGGAGAUAUAUAUUAGAAUAUUUGAUAUAAAAAAAUUUAAACAUCCCUCAAAGGGAUCUAAGGUCUUGGGAAUGGCCUUAGAUACUUGGACCUUGGACUCAUGAGAGGGACACAUGCACCGCUACAAGAAAAUCCUAAAGAAAUACUCUAUGUUGCAUAAUGCCCUAUAAAAUUUGGAUGAUAUCCAACCAUCUAAUCCUAAUGAGACUAUGCCCAAAGUGCAUUUCCUUCUUGCACAUGCAAAGGGGUUCAAAUCACCCAUAGCUAGUUAGAAAUAUACCUCAGACAAGAUGGGACAGUGGAUGUUCUCCCUGAUGGAUUUCUUUUCCACUUCGGUUCUUUUAUAACUUAAUAUAUCUUUUGUAAUAACCCAAUAUCUUAUUCAAAAAAACUAAUCAGAGAAUAUUAUUUUGAUUUUUUGGCAUUAUAUAAGUAUCCAGAAGUUAUACAUAUACAUAGCGAUGUGGGACUAAAUAUAUGCCCGCAUGGAUCCACAUUUCAGAUAUCACCAAGUUAUUAGUAUAUUAUGUUAAGAAUUUAUUUUCAACUAUUUAAGAAUGAAAUUUGAUCUAUCUUGAUAAUUGCUAGUGCACACAUGCUUAAAAGUUUUAAUAUAAAUAUCUAAUUGUAGAUUUUGUCAUUAAAAAAUUUUAUGUAUAUUUGAUUGCUCCAAAAUAUAUGUUGAAAAAUUUUUAUAUUAUUUUUUUUGAAAUUUCUAUUUUUAAAAAAAUGAUGGAAAAGUUUUUUUUGGCUGC